UUAUUAUUUUAAUAUUGUUAAAAGAAAUUUUAAAACUUGUAUUCCAGGAUUCAAGAGAAAAACAGAAAAUUAAUUUCAGGACUUAAGAUAUUCAUUUUCAAGAUCCAUCCCUAUUGUCUUGGUAACCGUGAAUGACCGUACAUCAAAAAUUUAACGGAAAAAUCAGGUACAUUUGUUAUCCAUGUAACAAACAGAAAAUGAAUAUUAUAAUUGCAUUUAAGUUUUCCAUCUCGUUAUAUUUCUUAUUUUUAAUUGCUAUAACAAUUUGAUUUGUGGUAAAGUCUCAGAUUAAGGAAACCCAAGAUUACACUUUCAAAAGUUGUUUCUGUUUUAG